AGUAACAGGAACUUUGAAGGGCUAUGACCAGCUUCUGAACUUGGUGCUUGAUGAAGCAAUUGAGUUUGAGAGAGAGCAAGAUGACCCGCUGAAACUGUCGGCGAAAACCAGGCAGCUUGGUCUCAUUGUCUGCAGAGGUACAGCGGUGAUGCUCGUGUCACCAACCGAGGGAACGGAGGAGAUCAAAAACCCCUUCCAAGAGGCUGAUGGUGCACAAGCCUGACCUGCCUGUGUUCGCGCCUUGGUCGAUAUCUGCACACCCCUAAACAU